rnacentral:lncRNA from 10 species
CUGCCCCGCGGCGGGAACGCGGCCGUGAGGGUGUGGGGUGUAGGUCCGCCAGGCCUGCAACGGCUGCCGAGGGUCGUGGGAUGCGCUCGCCGCGUCCCUGCUCAGGCGGAGGGAGCCCGGCCCGCCGCCAGGGUCUCGAGUCCGGGUCCAGGCAGGCGUGGAGGUGGCGGGAACGGCGCACCGCCCGGGUGGGCGUUGUUUUAAGGCCGCAGGGCUUGGGAGGCUUGUGUUGAGUUACAGGUCGGCCCGUAGAUCCCCGGAAGCGCCUUUGGUUGCCAGCAGGUGUCGGCGAGGGUCUUCAGUGGCCACCCUCCUGGUGGUGAUGUUUCCGUUUCUUUCCAACAGGAGUAUGACAACUUUUCAACUUGAGUGCACACACUGUCCCCGGAAUCCCGCGUUCCAGGGAGGAAGCGCCUUUGACAGCGCGCGCCGGUUCGUGGGGCCCGACGGCGUGGGCCUGUGGUUGCGGACCUGGCGGAGAUGCGCGUUCGCUUCGAUUGUAGGCCAUUCCUUUUAGGAGCUGAGAAAGGAUCCGUUUUUACAGCAUUCUCGACCUGUGAUUCUUGGUGGGGGAAACUAGUUAUGUGGAUAAAAAUACAGUUAGCAAAAUAAAAAUGCCAAUUUUACAUUUCCUUAAA